rnacentral:rRNA from 1 species
GACGAAGCGUGCGAACGUUGUUCGGAAUCACUGGGCGUAAAGGGCGCGUAGGCGGGCUGUCAAGUCUGGGGUGAAAUGCUGCGGCUCAACCUCGGAACUGCCUUUGAUACAGCACGUCUCGAGUCCGGAAGAGGUGGGUGGAAUUCCUAGUGUAGAGGUGAAAUUCGUAGAUAUUAGGAAGAACACCGGUGGCGAAGGCGGCAUCCUGGACCAACACUGACGCUGAGGAGCGAAAGCCAGGGGAGCAAACGGG